UACGUAGGGGCCGAGCGUUGUCCGGAGUUAUUGGGCGUAAAGCGCGCGCAGGCGGCCUCGCGCGCCCGGACGUGAAAGCCCCCGGCUUAACCGGGGAGGGUCGUUGGGGACGGCGGGGCUUGAGGGCGGGAGAGGUCGGUGGAAUUCCCGGUGUAGUGGUGAAAUGCGUAGAGAUCGGGAGGAACACCUGUGGCGAAGGCGGCCGACUGGGCCGACCCUGACGCUGAGGCGCGAAGGCGUGGGGAGCGAACGGG
rnacentral:rRNA from 1 species